GCUGGGCAUGGUGGUGCAUGCCUGUAAUCCCAGCUACUCUGGAGGCUGAGGCAGCAGAAUCACUUGAACCCAGGAGAUGGAGGUUGCAGUGAGCCAAGAUCGCGCCACUGCACUCCAACCUGGGUGACAGAGCAAGACUCUGUCUCUA
rnacentral:SRP_RNA from 1 species